GGAUCCGUGGCGCAAUGGCUAGCGCGUCUGACUCCAGAUCAGAAGGCUGUGUGUUCGAAUCACACCGGGUUCA
rfam:Selaginella moellendorffii unplaced genomic scaffold SELMOscaffold_14, whole genome shotgun sequence.